rnacentral:rRNA from 1 species
UGGUAGUCCAUGCUGUAAACGAUGUCGACUUGGAGGUUGUGCCCUUGAGGCGUGGCUUCCGGAGCUAACGCGUUAAGUCGACCGCCUGGGGAGUACGGCCGCAAGGUUAAAACUCAAAUGAAUUGACGGGGGCCCGCACAAGCGGUGGAGCAUGUGGUUUAAUUCGAUGCAACGCGAAGAACCUUACCUACUCUUGACAUCCACGGAAUUCGCCAGAGAUGGCUUAGUGCCUUCGGGAACCGUGAGACAGGUGCUGCAUGGCUGUCGUCAGCUCGUGUUGUGAAAUGUUGGGUUAAGUCCCGCAACGAGCGCAACCCUUAUCCUUUGUUGCCAGCACGUAAUGGUGGGAACUCAAAGGAGACUGCCGGUGAUAAACCGGAGGAAGGUGGGGAUGACGUCAAGUCAUCAUGGCCCUUACGAGUAGGGCUACACACGUGCUACAAUGGCAUAUACAAAGAGAAGCGAACUCGCGAGAGCAAGCGGACCUCAUAAAGUAUGUCGUAGUCCGGAUUGGAGUCUGCAACUCGACUCCAUGAAGUCGGAAUCGCUAGUAAUCGUAGAUCAGAAUGCUACGGUGAAUACGUUCCCGGGCCUUGUACACACCGCCCGUCACACCAUGGGAGUGGGUUGCAAAAGAAGUAGGUAGCUUAACC